rnacentral:piRNA from 1 species
GCCCCACCAGCUAGAUGUGUUAGUGGUUC